AGACGUCUACAUUAGAUACCCGUGUAGUCCUAGCCGUAAACGAUACUCGCUAGGUGUCGGCCACGGUGCGACCGUUGUCGGUGCCGUAGGGAAGCCGUGAAGCGAGCCACCUGGGAAGUACGGCCGCAAGGCUGAAACUUAAAGGAAUUGGCGGGGGAGCACCACAAGAGGUGGAGGCUGCGGUUUAAUUGGAUUCAACGCCGGAAAUCUUACCGGGACCGACAGCAACAUGAAGGCCAAGCUGAAGACUUUGCCGGAUUAGCUG
rnacentral:rRNA from 1 species